AUGACCAUACCCUCGAAAUCACUUCUAUCUUUGCUUGCUAGAUGCUCGCUCUUUUGCUAUGCCUAUGCUAUGAUACCUACCACUUGCUUAUCAUGCCUUCCAAAUUGCCAUGUCAAACCUCUAACCCGCCAUUUCCUAGCAAACCGUUGUUUGGCUAUGUUACCGAUUUGCUCAGCCCCUCUUAUAGCGUUGCUAGUUGCAGGUGAAGUUUGGAGAUCGUUCCUUUUUGGCACAUUGUUUAUUGUUGGGAUAUCACCAUAUUAUCUUAUUUAUCUUAAUGCACCUAUAUACUUGGUAAAGGGUGGAAGGCUCGGCCUUUUGCCUAGUGUUUUGUUCCACUCUUGCCGCCCUAGUUUCUGUCAUAUCGGUGUUAUGUUCCCGGAUUUUUGCGUUCCUUACACAGUUGGGUUAUAA
rnacentral:rRNA from 1 species